UUUAUUAUAAAUCACAUGCUUGACAGGAAAUGAAAGCAAAAUCAUCAGAGCCUCAGCUGUCUGCAGACAACAUCCAAGAUCAACAACAAUUUUAUGUUUUGUUUUCACACCCAGCCAGGCCUUUGUGUGGGAUCAGCAGGACAUUCUUAAAGGCUUGUGUUUGCUGAAACUUGUCAGACAUGGCAGCUCAGGAUCAGCCACUCUGCUGCAUCUGCCUGGAUGUGUUCACCCAGCCGGUGGCUCUGCCAUGUCAACACUGCUUCUGCUGGACCUGCAUCACCAAAUACUGGGACAACACUGACAGAUGCCAGUGUCCCCUGUGUAACAGGCGCUUCACCAGCAGACCAGAGCUUCAGACCAGCAUAGGAAUGUCUGGGCUCAGUGAUCAGUUGGAGCUGCUGACUCAGCAGACCGCCUGCUGCAGCUCGGAACCACAGCCUGAUGCAGGACAGGUUGUGUGUAGCGUCUGCACCGACAAGGCCCAGAUGUCCUGUCUGGUGUGUCUCAGCUCCUACUGUGAGACCCAUCGGGUGUUCCAUCAGAUGAUCCCAGGCCUGAAGAGACACACUCAGCUGGAUCCUGUGGAGGGACAGGAGGACAGAAUGUGCAUCAAGUAUCAAAAAGCUUCAGAGAAACUUAUGUGCCGAUGUGGCUUUUUUGUGUUGCUUGCAUGUUUUAUUUUUAUAAUUGCUGUGUGCUAUUUUGUAUUUAUUUAACUUUAUUGUAUUUAUUGAACUAUUUUGGAUUCAUCUGGGUUUGUUGAUUAACUUCUUUUGUGCAUAUUUUUAUGUCCAUCAUCCAGAAGCUCCUUGCCUCUCUGGAGACAGAAACCUGCCAUGAUGUUCGUCAUUCACUCCAGUUUCUAUUAUAUGGAAAACUGUUAGCCUCCCGUUUUUAUGAAAAGUGCUCUUUAAUUAAAUUUUUAGAAGGCUAGUUUUCUACUCAGCAGAUUCAACCACUAGAGGGCAGGAUGUUCUUGAGAAUCUUUUAAACUAUAAAUUAUGUAUAAUAUGAGUAGCCUUGGGCUGCACAGUGGUGCAGUUGGUAGCGCUGUUGCCUUGCAGCAAGAAGGUCCUGGGUUUGAUUCCUGGCCCAGGGUCU